GCCAUGCGUCUGGAGCUUCACAUUCUCUGCCCCCCACCCACCGCGCCGGCGCUCCCUUGUCACGCCUCGGGAAGCGCGCACCUGCCAAGCAGGUCACUCUGUCGCCGGAGGGCAGUGGCAUGAUCAUAGGUCACUGUAACCUGGAACUCCUGGGUUCAGGCAAUCUUCCCACUUCAGCUUCCUGAGUAGCUAGAAUUACAGUAGAGAUGGGGUUUCACCAUGUUGCCCAGGCUGGUCUCAAACUCCUGAGCUCAGGCCAUCUGCCCGCCUCGGCCUCCCAAAGUGCUAGGAUUACAGGUGCCUGCUUCCCCUUCACCUUCCACCAUGAUUGUAAGUUUCCUGAGGCCUCCCCAGACAUGUGGAACUUGUUAAGUUGUCAUCAGUUUUAAAUAAUGGGUUAUCAAGGAGGAUCGCUUGAGCCCAGGAAUUUGAGACCAGCCUGGGCAACACAAACAGGUUUCUCUUAUUGCCUGGAUCCAAGAGCAUCUCCUGGGUUCUUCCUGUUAGAAUACUGAAUGUCCAUGGAGAGUUUAACAUAAGGAAGAAGAGGCCUGUCUCCCAGCUGAAACUGGUGCAGCAGAUCAUGCAAAGUAAAACCUCAGCAGCUGUGAUGAAGUAGAGCAGAGGGCCUGGGUGUCUGUCAGCUCCAAGCGGAAGAUUUCCCCAGCUUUCUAGAUUUCUGACUUCAUAUCUGUGGGAUCCACACAAUGGGGAGGUACUGGCCUUGGAAUCCAUGGUUCCCCAGCUAUCAUUUUACUUUAGAAUUACAGUGUUCUCUGUUAGUGUCAAGGGAAUGAACCUGACGAGAAAAGACCAAACAUAGGACUGUUACAGGGAAGAAAAAUAUGAAAAGACCUAAAGAUGCACGUCCUCAUUAUAUGUAAGGAAUCUAUUUCCUAGAAUCCUAUAAAAAGCUCAAGUGAAUUUGCUUCAGUUAAUAAAUGUGAUUUAAUUAUAAUGAUAA
rnacentral:lncRNA from 1 species